ensembl:lncRNA
CAACAGCUGUGUGCAGAUCAACAAUGGAUCAUAUAUCGAGUGCAGAGAGAGUAUGAGCAUGCAGCGUUUAAAGCGUGGAAGUACUGACCUUACUUUGAGUUUGAUUCCAUAAAAAGUGACAAAAACAUUAGUGUCCGCUGUGCGUGGGAAGAAAACUUCUUUUUACAGCGAAAAAACCCCUAAACUUCCAACAAGCACCGAGUAGCUACGACGUAAUGGGAAACUCAGAGAAACUCGCGGAUUCUUCCACACCUGCACCAGGGUAAACCUCCGCCUGCUUUACAGGUGAAAAUAGAGCAACAGGACCGCUGAGUCUUUGACUUUAUUUAUUUUCUGCUGUGUUUUACUUGCAUCUAUUUGAAAGACUGAGUGUAAACACAAAAAAUAUUUUAUUUUAUGAGCUGGAAUGUGCAGAAAAUAGGUUUCAAUGUUAAACUAAUUUCUUCCAGUCAGAGAAUGUUGCAGAUAAUUAAAUCUUUGCUUGAUGCAUAAAGUUAAAAGAUUAAAACUAAUAAAACAAGUUUUAAAAAGAGACUUUUCCAUUUGAUUACAUUUUGUAUGAUGAUUAUGUAGAAAAAGUAGAAUUGGGCUGAAAGAUCUAUCACUUUAUCACCUCUUCAGGUUGUAAAUCGUGUUUUUAAAAAGUAACUAAGUAACUAAGUAAUUAAUUACUUUUGAAAAUAAGUAAUCAGUAAAGUAAUGGGAUUACUUUUUUGGGGGAAGUAAUCAGUAAUUAGUUACUGAUUACUUUUUUCAAGUAACUUGACCAACACUGCUCAUCAGUACAAAUAUGUCCAUUAAUUUGCUUUAGAAGCUUGCGCCACCUGAUGCUGCAGGUUGAUGUUCAACCUUUGGUGCUCAUUUCAAUCUCCAGCUUUUUAUUCUUGUACUCCAAGACAUGAGUAGCUUUGCAUGAUUCCCCGUUCAAAAUAAUCAGCCUUUAUCGUAUUCUGCUCAUCGUCUGAAGGGAUAUCCCCUCUCUUUGACAUCAUGCAGAUCCAAGAGUAAAAAAAGACAGUUUUGGCUCACAGGAAUGACCCAUACAUACACUGACUUUAUUAUUUGAAACUUUACUCAUGUUUCACAUGAAUCCACUAUUGAAACAGGAGAUGUGUCACGGACUGGCUCUGGAGGACUCAGGGGUCCGUGAGCAGUUUUGACUGUUGUUGUUAUUAUUAUCAUCAUUAUUUGGUGACGUGUGUGUUAAUCUGUGUUCCACUCAUUAUAUGUAUAGGCAGGGUGUGGGUGUGUACGUGUGCGUGUCUGCGGGUGUGGCUGGAGGAUGGAGCACAGCCACCUGCAGGCCUGAUGGUUGUGGCCCUGCGGGAGGACUGGCCACACCUGAAGUUCCUGCCACACCUGUUGGUGAUCAGGGCUCGUCGGGGGAGCUACUUUGGCGAGUGUUGGAGCUCCCACCGGCGCGGGAUCAUUGCGUUGUCAUCCAAAGUGGAGGAGUGGACCAGAAAGGCAGCACGCACGGGGUGUGCGGAAACACGACAGCGGGGAGCACGAGCACAGACGUCGGAGGGGAGCACACACAUGGGAGUCAAGGGAGAAACGGGGAGUUAUUGUGUUUACAGCUUUCACUGUAAAUAAAGUGCAGUUUCCAUCGCAGAAACCUGCGUUUUGGCUCCUCAUUCCCCAUAUCCCCACGGUCUGCCAGCCAGACCUUGACAAGAUGUUUAAUGAGAAAAUAAAUAAAAUAUAG